UACGUAGGGCGCGAGCGUUGUCCGGAAUUAUUGGGCGUAAAGAGCUCGUAGGCGGUCUGUCACGUCGGCUGUGAAAACCCGAGGCUCAACCUCGGGCCUGCAGUCGAUACGGGCAGACUAGAGUUCGGUAGGGGAGACUGGAAUUCCUGGUGUAGCGGUGAAAUGCGCGGAUAUCAGGAGGAACACCGGUGGCGAAGGCGGGUCUCUGGGCCGAAACUGACGCUGAGGAGCGAAAGCGUGGGGAGCGAACAGG
rnacentral:rRNA from 1 species